UUAAGCGACUAAGCGUACACGGUGGAUGCCCUGGCAGUCAGAGGCGAUGAAGGACGUGCUAAUCUGCGAAAAGCGUCGGUAAGGUGAUAUGAACCGUUAUAGCCGGCGAUGUCCGAAUGGGGAAACCCAGUGCAAUUCGUUGCACUAUCGUUAACUGAAUACAUAGGUUAACGAGGCGAACCGGGGGAACUGAAACAUCUAAGUACCCCGAGGAAAAGAAAUCAACCGAGAUUCCCCCAGUAGCGGCGAGCGAACGGGGAGCAGCCCAGAGUCUGAAUCAGCUUGUGUGUUAGUGGAACGGUCUGGAAAGUCCGACGGUACAGGGUGAUAGUCCCGUACACCAAAAUGCACAGGUUGUGAACUCGAAGAGUAGGGCGGGACACGUGGUAUCCUGUCUGAAUAUGGGGGGACCAUCCUCCAAGGCUAAAUACUCCUGACUGACCGAUAGUGAACCAGUACCGUGAGGGAAAGGCGAAAAGAACCCCGGCGAGGGGAGUGAAAAAGAACCUGAAACCGUGUACGUACAAGCAGUGGGAGCACCUUCGGGUGUGACUGCGUACCUUUUGUAUAAUGGGUCAGCGACUUAUAUUCUGUAGCAAGGUUAACCGUAUAGGGGAGCCGCAGGGAAACCGAGUCUUAACUGGGCGUUAAGUUGCAGGGUAUAGACCCGAAACCCGGUGAUCUAGCCAUGGGCAGGUUGAAGGUUGGGUAACACUAACUGGAGGACCGAACCGACUAAUGUUGAAAAAUUAGCGGAUGACUUGUGGCUGGGGGUGAAAGGCCAAUCAAACCGGGAGAUAGCUGGUUCUCCCCGAAAGCUAUUUAGGUAGCGCCUCGUGAACUCAUCUUCGGGGGUAGAGCACUGUUUCGGCUAGGGGGUCAUCCCGACUUACCAACCCGAUGCAAACUACGAAUACCGAAGAAUGUUAUCACGGGAGACACACGGCGGGUGCUAACGUCCGUCGUGAAGAGGGAAACAACCCAGACCGCCAGCUAAGGUCCCAAAGUCAUGGUUAAGUGGGAAACGAUGUGGGAAGGCACAGACAGCCAGGAUGUUGGCUUAGAAGCAGCCAUCAUUUAAAGAAAGCGUAAUAGCUCACUGGUCGAGUCGGCCUGCGCGGAAGAUGUAACGGGGCUAAACCAUGCACCGAAGCUGCGGCAGCGACACUAUGUGUUGUUGGGUAGGGGAGCGUUCUGUAAGCCUGCGAAGGUGACCUGUGAGGGUUGCUGGAGGUAUCAGAAGUGCGAAUGCUGACAUAAGUAACGAUAAAGCGGGUGAAAAGCCCGCUCGCCGGAAGACCAAGGGUUCCUGUCCAACGUUAAUCGGGGCAGGGUGAGUCGACCCCUAAGGCGAGGCCGAAAGGCGUAGUCGAUGGGAAACAGGUUAAUAUUCCUGUACUUGGUGUUACUGCGAAGGGGGGACGGAGAAGGCUAUGUUAGCCGGGCGACGGUUGUCCCGGUUUAAGCAUGUAGGCUGGUUGUCCAGGCAAAUCCGGAUAAUCAAGGCUGAGGUGUGAUGACGAGGCACUACGGUGCUGAAGUAACAAAUGCCCUGCUUCCAGGAAAAGCCUCUAAGCAUCAGGUAACAUUAAAUCGUACCCCAAACCGACACAGGUGGUCAGGUAGAGAAUACCAAGGCGCUUGAGAGAACUCGGGUGAAGGAACUAGGCAAAAUGGUGCCGUAACUUCGGGAGAAGGCACGCUGGUGUGUAGGUGAAGUCCCUGCGGAUGGAGCUGAGACCAGUCGAAGAUACCAGCUGGCUGCAACUGUUUAUUAAAAACACAGCACUGUGCAAACACGAAAGUGGACGUAUACGGUGUGACGCCUGCCCGGUGCCGGAAGGUUAAUUGAUGGGGUUAUCCGUAAGGAGAAGCUCUUGAUCGAAGCCCCGGUAAACGGCGGCCGUAACUAUAACGGUCCUAAGGUAGCGAAAUUCCUUGUCGGGUAAGUUCCGACCUGCACGAAUGGCGUAAUGAUGGCCAGGCUGUCUCCACCCGAGACUCAGUGAAAUUGAACUCGCUGUGAAGAUGCAGUGUACCCGCGGCAAGACGGAAAGACCCCGUGAACCUUUACUAUAGCUUGACACUGAACAUUGAGCCUUGAUGUGUAGGAUAGGUGGGAGGCUUUGAAGCGUGGACGCCAGUCUGCGUGGAGCCAACCUUGAAAUACCACCCUUUAAUGUUUGAUGUUCUAACGUUGGCCCCU
rnacentral:rRNA from 1 species